AAGGGCACCACAAGAACGCGUGGAGCAUGUGGCUUAAUUUGACUCAACGCGGGAAAUCUUACCGGGUCCGGACACACUGAGGAUUGACAGGCAAAAGAUACAAGUUUUUUCGGGAACUUGCAUUGUAAAAUAUGCGAGUCCUUUCAUGAUUAUGUGAUAGGUGGUGCAUGGCCGUUCUUAGUUCGUGGAGUGAUCUGUCUGCUUAAUUGCGUUUCACAACGAUUUAAAAUGCUAUGUUCUGUGUUUGCUGUUCGGUUUUCCUUCGGGUUAACUUUGAACGCACACGGCGUAGUUUAAAACAAUCGGAAAGCAACGAACGUGACCGCAACCUCUUGUUGCCUUUAUUUAUUAAAAGCGUAGAUAUUAUUUUUCGGAAUAGUGUUUACGUUGAAAAAGGCUUUAAAACUAGAGGGACCGCUGUUCUAUUUUCUUAAACCAGAGGAAGAUUGCGGCAAUAACAGGUCUGUGAUGCCCUCAGAUGUUCCGGGCUGCACACGUGCUACAAUGAUUGUUGCAGUGAGCAUCUAUUUUCAAACGCUACCGUUGUGGAUUUUGUAUUUUUUACUUUGUGUGAAAGCUGUUUCGGCAGUCUGACAUGCUUUGUAUGAUUUUACAAUUUAUUCCACGUUACCCGUGUCAGCUAAACCUGCUUCGAAAGCAAGUAGGUAAUCAAUUGGAAGUAACGAUUUCCAUAAUCUGGAAAAGCACAACUUCUGGUCUAUUUGGUAUUGCGAGUUUGCGUAGAUUUCGGUUUGCGUAUUCUUUUGUCGAUAUUCAUUUGGAUAUCUGUGCUAACACUAACAUUUAAUUAGUUCAAGGUGGGGACAGACCAUUGUUAAUUGUUGGUCUCGUCGUAACUAGGAAUGCCCUGUACCGGUUUUUGGUUCAACACACCACCCGGAAUACGUCCCUGGCCUUUGUACACACCGCCCGUCGCUCUUACCGAUGGACUUCUCUGUGAGGUUGAGGGACUUGGUUUUUUAACCAACCUACGGGAAACUUAAUCCAACAGGGUGGUCUAAAGGAAAGAGAAGUCGUAACAAGGCAUCGGUAGGUGAACCUGCAGAAGGAUCA
rnacentral:rRNA from 1 species